UUCUCGAUUUGCUGAAAAUGUUACUUACCAACGUGUUGUAAAAUGCUAACACCUGGCCCUGAAAAUCGAUGGGUGAGCUGUGUGGCUAACCUGCCAGACUGCCCCUCCCCGACCCUUGACAGCUUGUGUCUCUUCCAUUUCCAGGCAAGGGCCUCAGGAAGACCUGGGCUCCGUAAAGGCCCUGUUCCCACACAAACAUGCCCCUCUGAGCAGAAAACAGGCAGACACAAAAGGAAGGAGAAUCUGGCCCUCUGUUCCGGGAAUGGUGAAAAAAUGAUGACUGGAGCCUGAGAUGCCAGAUGGAGUCUAAUUCUGUCACCAAGGUUGGAGUGGAGUGGCAUGAUCUCAGCUCCCUGCAAUCUCCACCUCCCUAAUUCGAGUGAUUGUCAUGUGUCGGCCUCCUGAGGACCUGGACUACAGGUUGAACGAGACAUCUACGUUGGCGAUCUUGGGGAUUCAUGCAGGUCGGUAAUCCACUGGCAGAAGUGCCGGACCCCGACAAUAACCAGACCCAUACACACAAUCCAUAACCAAAUCCACAAAAUCCAUAACUAGACCCAUACCCAGACCCACACACACAAUCCAUAAUGAGAUCCACACCCACAAUCCAUAACCAGACCCAUACACACAUAAUCCAUACACAUAAUCGAUAACGAGACCCAUAACCAGACCCAUAAUGAGACCCAUCCGCACAAUCCAUAACCACACCCACACACAAUUCAUAACCAAAUCCACAGAAUCCAUAACCACACCCAUACCCAGACCCAUCCACACAAUACAUAACCACACCCACACACACAGUCCAUAACCAGACCCACACACACACAUAAUCGAUAACGAGACCCAUCCGCACAAUCCAUAACCAGACCCACACACACAAUCCAUAACCAAAUCCACACACAGACCCAACGGCACAUCCAAAAGCUUACCCAUCAUGAUCAGGCCAGCUUCAUGCCUGGGAUGAAAGCCUGGUUCAACAUAUGCAAAUCAAUACACAUAAUCCAUCACAUAAACAGAACCAAAGAUGAAAACCACAUGAUCAUCUCAAUAGAUGCAGAGGUGGCCUUCAACAAAAUUCAACAGCCCUUUAUGCAAAAGUCUCUCAAUAAACUAGGUAUGGAUGGAACAUUUCUCAAAAUAGUUAUUUAUGACAAACCCACAGCCAAUAUUAUACUGAAUGAGCAAAAACUGGAAGCAGUCCCCUUUGAAAACGGCAGAAGACAAGGAUGGCCUGCCUCUCUCCCCACACCUAUUGAAGGAGGAGUUAACAUGGUAAAGAUAGCACUUUUCCUCAUUUUAAUAUAGACAUUUAAUGUCAUGCCAAUAAAAAUUACAAUAAAAGUUUUUGAGAGGAACAUAAGGUGCUUGGAAAAUGAAAUUUCUUCUGAAAGAAUAAAUGGGCUUUGAAAAACCAAAUAAAGGGCAUCUUGCCUACAUUAUGGUAACACAUUUAUGAAACCUAGUAAUUAAGGAAGUCUGGCAUUGGUGAAAGAACAGACAAAAUUAUGAGCUUUAAAUCAGAAAUUUCAUGUAUAGGUUGGUACAAAAGUCAUUGUGGUUUUUGCCAUCACUUUUGCACCAACCUGUACAUUUAGAAAUGAAUCAUUUAAUGUUAUGUUAUAUUCAGAUGAGCUACCAAGGGAUAGACUGUUUAAUAAAUUGUUUUGAAGCAGCUGAACACUCAUUUAUAAACAAACAACACUUACCUUUCCUUAUCCAUGAAAAUAAAACAUUUAAACAAAAACAAAACCAUAAAACUACUGAAAAAAAAUUAAGGGCCCUUUGUAAAAUUUUGAAGGGGUUUCUUCAAGAAGCUGUCAGAGAAAGACUAAAAGACAGGACUACAUGUGAAUUUAAAACCAGCACAUGACAAACAACUGUUUAAAAAAGUUAAAAAGCAAAGAACAAACUGCAAAUCGUAUGUUCAGAUUCCACAACAAACAAUAGAUUAACUUACUUAAAUAAAGACACCUUACAAAGGAAACCAUCACUAUAAGGCAUUCUUGGUAAGCGACUUAGAAAUACCUUUAUAUUUUGCAAUUCCACUUCUAGAUCGAUAUCCAACAGAGAAUCUAAUACACGCAUAUAUACAUGUGUGUGAAUACUUAUGUGUAUACAGUUAGAUUUAGAAAUACGUAUCCACACACACACAAUUUUUCUAAGGUCUUACAUUAAUACAGGAUUAAUUAAAUUAUGAUAUACUGAUAGAGUAUUCUAUGCAGCGGUUACGGUGUUAUC